rnacentral:rRNA from 1 species
CCUACGGGGAGCUGCAGUGAGGAAUAUUGGUCAAUGGACGCAAGUCUGAACCAGCCAUGCCGCGUGCAGGAAGACGGCUCUAUGAGUUGUAAACUGCUUUUGUACGAGGGUAAACGCAGAUACGUGUAUCUGUCUGAAAGUAUCGUACGAAUAAGAACGGCUAACCCCGUGCCAGCCGGCGCGGUAAUAAGGAGGAUUCCAGCGUUAUUCGGAUUUAUUGGAUUGAAAGGGUGUGUAGGGGGUUUGAUAAGUUAGAGGUGAAAUGUCGGGGCUCAACCCCGAAACUGCCGCUAAUACUGUUGGACUAGAGAAUAGUUGCGGUAGGCGGAAUGUAUGGUGUAGCGGUGAAAUGCUUAGAGAUCAUACAGAACACCGAUUGCGAAGGCAGCUUACCAAACUAUAUCUGACGUUGAGGCACGAAAGCGUGGGUAGCAAACAGGAUUAGAUACCCUUGUAGUC